GGCUGGUCCGAAGGCCGUGAGUCAUCUCACUUGAUUGUUCACAAUCAUUACAGAUUGAACUCCUUGUUCUGCUCUUCUCCCCCUUCUCACUACUGCACUUGACUAGUCUUAA
ensembl:misc_RNA Y_RNA Y RNA